CCCACAAAACGUAAUUGAGCCUUCCAUCAGCAGAAUCUCAUGCGCUUUAUAUUUCUGCCCGAGACUAUGCCAAGUCUGUUCUCCAACUAGCCCAAAAAAUCCAUCAAUAGAAAGUGUCAAAAUCUUUCAAGAUCUAACUACCCUCGUGACUUAUGGCACCUAGCCAAAAAUACCUCCAAUAACUUUGCUUUUUCUUCUUUCCCUCUUUUAUUUCUUUUCCCUCCUUUAUUUACUCAACGAGAAGUAGAGGAUUUGAAGCAGGAAGUGAAACAGCGUAAGGAAGAAAAUAGAACCUGCCGUGAAGUAAUUAACACACUAAUGGAAAAAAUAGACAAGAGUGAAAAAAAGAUGUAAGGAAUUAGAUGACAGAGCGAAUUAUCAGGAGGAUUAUAAUCGGCGAAACAACUUGCAAAUUGUUAGAGUUGAAGAACGUUCAGAGAGAGAAACUGGGGAACAGACAGCUGUUAAGGUCUCGGAACUCCUAACCAACAAGUUGGAGCUACCAAACAUCGAGGUGGAGCGUGCACACCGUGUAGGACAACGUGACGGCCAUCGGCACUGCACCAUUGUCGCUCGCUUUACAAGGUAUGGAGACCGAGAGGCUGUCAUGAGGAACGUAACAAAGCUAAAAGGAACAAGAAUUUAUAUCAACGAAGAUCUGUGUCCAGCAUCCCAGAACAUACGAAAAGCUCAAAUACCAGCUAUAAAACAAGCUAGAAGUGAGGGAAAAGUGGCGUACUUCCGCCACACUAAACUGAUUAUUAAGGAACGACCGAACAGUGGUGGUUCAUCGAGGAGGGUCGUUACUACAGGUGCCUCGACUCAUGGAUCGUCUGACCGGCCUGAUGACGUAUCGACUGGCGGCAGCGCAGUGGGCAGCGACGGCAGUGUGGUUGUUGUUACAGGCCGGGACACAAUUCCCGAUGAGGAUAGUACUGUCACCGCCGAUACGAUGGCUCCUGCUGCUGACGGCUCAUCUGCCGUGGCUGCUGGUGGUGUGACCAGCGCUGCUGACAGGAAGAAGGACGCCACGACGAUCAGGGACAACAGGACAGCUAGUAGGACAGAGGCUCUACGGACAACGAGGUCCUCUCGUGGAGGAAGAUAAGAGUAUGGCGUAAGUGAUUGCUGGUCUCCUUUAGUAAGGACAGACAGGCAGACAGAAACGAGAUGCCAGGAUUGCUAGUCACCGAGAAGGCUGUGUGUCAGCCGUGGCUGGUGAGUGUGACCUUCUGGCGUGGUGGAGUCGGCGCUGGAUAUUCAUAUAAAGUGGCGCCGGCCCUCCUGGAGACACAUUUGGUUUCCACCUGCCUGCUGCUGGCAGGUCCUUCCCCGCCACUCCUGCCGAAGAAAUGAUGGUGUUUCAACCCCGGAGGGAAACGUGUCUGUACGAGCGGCUCUCGUUCUUGUGGCUGUGGUCUGCCGGCCUUUCCCUGAGGUCAAUCGCUCGGCGGUCUGGCAGGAGCCCGCACACAGUAAGGCGCUGGUUGCGUUGGUGGGAGCGGAAUGGACGCCUCCCUAGGACGUUGGAUGGACACCAGCGCUACUUGUUCCAUACUGCAGAUAUGAAUUUCCUUUCCAGGAUGAAGCCAGCAAUUCCCUCUUACUCUCACAGCCACAUGGGCUCUAGUACGCAACAGCUGGCCGAAGAAAUCUUACGUCAAAGAGUGACACACUGUGCUUCGAAUAGUCAGUGCGUGGCUGGUUUCGUCCCUCAGUGAAUUUCAUCUGAACCGUACUGGGAAGAGAAAUGAUUCUCAAACGAAUUCUUAACAACUUCAAAAAGAAAAGCAAUAGUUAAAGCAAUAGUUAGAGGUUUUCGUUGCCAGCUUUUCUAAACUGACUUUAUACUGAUAU